rnacentral:rRNA from 1 species
UACGGAGGGUGCAAGCGUUAUCCGGAUUUACUGGGUUUAAAGGGUGCGUAGGUGGGUCUGUAAGUCAGUGGUGAAAUCUCCGGGCUUAACCCGGAAACUGCCAUUGAUACUAUAGGUCUUGAAUUAUCUGGAGGUGAGCGGAAUAUGUCAUGUAGCGGUGAAAUGCUUAGAUAUGACAUAGAACACCAAUUGCGAAGGCAGCUUACUACACGAUCAUUGACGCUGAGGCACGAAAGCGUGGGGAGCAAACAGG